CACCUAUUGUCUAUUGAUGGUGGUAUCCUCAAUGAAUAUAAAAAUGACAUUGGACCUGUGGCUACACAGACAUGGGUAUAAUGGAGUGUGUAGAGCAGUGGACUGAGUACACAGCCCUGAAGGCCACCUGUGCUGAAGGCCAGCAAGGGGCAGGUGUCAAUCCAUACUGAUUGAGGUCUUACCAUGAGGAAGUCCAGGAUCCAGUUGCAUCGGGAAGAUCAGAGGCUCAGUUCUCUGGGUUUGACGAUGAGUUUAGAGGGGAUGAUGGCAUUAAACACUGAACUGUAGUUGAUGAGCAACAUGUUCCUGUUGUCCAAGUGGUCUGGUGCAGAAUGGAGAACCAGCGUAAUUCAGAUUCAGAUUCAGAUUCAACUUUAAUUGUCAUUGUCAGUGUACAGUACAGAGACAGCGAAAUGCAGUUAGCAUCUCCCUGGAAGAGCGACAUGGAAUAUGAUUUCAAUAAAUAAAUCCAUUUCCAUGCAUACAGUCAUAGUGUUUUUCCUGUGGGAGGAGUGUCCGGGGGGGGGGUGAUUGGCAGUCACCGAGGUACAUUGUUGAGUAGUGUUCACUGUAUUCACUGUCAGUCCGUUACGGCGAUAGAUGAAUAUAAAUGCUCCCAGAUCGUUACUGAGGCAGGAGAUGAUUUGGUUCGUAACUAACUUAUUGAGGCACUUCAUGACAGUAGAUGCAAGUGUCUCAGAUUGGUAGUCGUUGAGGUUUGACACCUUACUCUUCUUGGACACCGGUACUAUGUGGCUUUUUAAAGGUAGGGGCCUCGAACCACAGUACUGAGAGAUUUAACAUAUGUAUAAUUGUUUGUUUGAGUUAAGUUGUUGAGUUUAAAGCAGUACUGAACCCAGUCUUCAUUCCAGACACUGGCUCCAAUAGCAAAUCCCACCCACAUCCCUACUGCCUGUGUUCCUGACCAUGACUCUAUGCACACCUGCCCCACACUCCCAGUCUUACAUGGCUGAUCUCCAGUACAUGGAUCCAUGAAUAAUAAGUCCACAGAUAAUGAGUACUUUGUGUACUAGUGAGGAAACCACAUGCCAAUCUAUCGGGAUUUUCAAUCAAUCGUAUACCUGACUGAUCUUUACAGACCCAGAAAUUGGAUGAACAGUCCCCCAGUCCUCGAGGACGCCGAAUCUUUGAUCCAAAAUCACUUAUUGUUCCCAAGCGAACUAGGCCUGCAGCAUUUAAUAUCUAAAAUGACUCACAUACUUUGCAUUAAUUGCAUUAACCCUGUAAUAAAUCAAUCUAAUUAAUGUAUUCAAUACAAACUGGUUCCACUUUCACCGAUUUCAUAGAUUGAUUGCUCCCUCGGUGAAAUAUUGGGAGUAGUUUUAAGCGUAACUGGAAGAGGGGACAGAGUAGCACUCCUAAUUUGCAGUAUCCCAUAUUCCAAUGAACCAGGUCACUUGCAUUCUCUUUCCAGUUUUACUGCAACUGCUGAUGUAAAAUUGCCCCACCUCAUUUCCACUGACUGGUUUUGAAAAUGGUCAAAACGUUAGAGAGCAAAUACCAAAUAAAGGGUCAGGUUAGCAUCUAAAAUAUAUCUGAAUAUUGCACAAAAUAUCAGCCCUAAAGUUGCCAACACACAAUGGACAAAUUAGAAUGAAGGACAAUUGGAGUGUGGGCAAAGAUGCGGAUCAAUUUGAUACACAGAAUUGCUUUGCUUGAGUUAGGUAAGAAGUAAAACAUCUUAAACUUGAUCCCAACCCACCUACUUUAACAGUAGCACAAGUAGAGCUGCUGCCUUAUAGCUCCAUCAGCCUGAGUUCAAUUCUGACUUCCAGUGUUUUCUGUGCGGUUUGUACAUUCUGCCUGUGAUGGUGUGGAUUUCCUCCCACAUUCCAGAGUUGAGCAGAUUGGUGGGUUAAUUGUCUACUGUAGACUGCCCCUGGUUUAUAGAUGAGUGAUAGAAUUUAGGAGGAUUUGAUGAUAUUGAGGGGGGUGACUAAUAUGCUUGACGACCAGGUAUGGACUUGAUGGGCCUAAGUGCCUGUUUCUGUGCUACGUCUCUUCUUGACUCGAUGACGAAUGUUGUGCACCAGCCUGUUCCAAACAAGUGGGUCAUUCAUAGAGUCAUACAGCAUCGAAACAAACACAGACCCAACUCUUCAAUGCCGAUCAAGGUGCCCCAUCUAAGUUAGUUCCAUUUGCUCACAUUUGCCACAAAUCUCUCUGAACCCUUCCUUUCUUUGCACCUGUCCAAAUGUUGUUUCAAUGCUGUAAUUGUACCUGCCUCUGUCAAGUCAAGUCAAGUUAAGUCAAGCCUGGCAGCUUGUUCCGUGCACCCAUUACCCUCUGUGUAAAAAGAUUGUCUCUAUUCCCCUUUGACCUUAAACCUAUGCCCUCUAGAUUUUAAUUCCCCUAUUCUGGAAAACCACUGUGUAUUCACACUAUCUAUUCCCCUCAUGUGCAGGGAGAUGAGAUUAGUUUACAUUGACAUCAUGUUUAGCACAGACAUUGUGAGUUGAAGGGCUUGUAUCUAUGCUGCACUUUUCUGUGUUCUAUAUAUACAUCCAUGUGUGAUAUGUAGGUAACUACUUUGAUGUUCAAAUUGAUGCUGAUAAAAAAUAAUUGACUAUAAGAUUAAACCAUGUCGUAAUUAUUGACAGUUCUUGGGAUAUUGAUACGAGGUCUCCCUCAAUUAUUAAUUGUCAAGAAAGGUACCAAGCCUGAAUUAUUAAAUGCAAAGGAACAAUUCCAUCGAUGAAGAAACUCCAUUAUAUCUCUACAGAUAUAGAAGCUUUGGAACAACUCAGAUCUCUUGGUGAAGUAAAGGGUCUUCCUCUACACGUGACAUUCAUGCACAGUGCCACAGCGGGUAGAGUCCCUGACUCAUAGCGCCAGAGACCAGGGUUCCAUCCUGACCUCGUGUGCUGUCUGUGAAGUUUGCACGUUCUCCCUGUGAAGUCCGAAGAAGGAUCUCGACCCGAAAUGCCACCUAUUCUUUUUCUGCAGGGAUGCUGUCUGGCUCGACUCAAGACCAAGUUCCCAAGAGGUACAUUGAAUGAUUAUUAUACAAAAUAAAAUGCAGCCCUGGAGAGAUUGCAUCUGGUUGACUGUGUUCAGGUCUGUUCUCUCUACUGAAGGAAAGAUAUAUGUGCGAUAAUAGGAUGACUCCUAGAGUGGUCGGGGAGGGGUGGUGGGGGGAUUGAUCUAACGUGGAGGGAUUAACCUGUUUACUGACAAAAAAAAAUUCCACUAUUGCCCAUGGCCUGAGUAUACUCAGAGGUGGCACUGAACAGGUUAAGCUGACAUAGGCUGUACUUUUAAAAAAAGACAAUAGUGAUCUCAUUGAAAUGUAACAAAAUUCUUAAAGGGUAAAUGAGAGAUUGAUUUUUCCUGCUUGCUGUGGUAGCCAGAUCAAGGGUGAAUAAUCUUAAAGUAAAGGGUUGGUUAUUCAGGACUGAUAUAAGAACAAAUAUCUUCACUCAGAGAUAGUGGAUGUAUGCAAUUCUCUACCCACAAGAGCUGUGCAGAUUAGUGACUGAAUAUAUUCAAGGCAGAAAUAAGAGUAUUAUUGUAUAGCCUCGAGCUAUACAGCAAAGAAGAAGAAUGCCAAGAGGGUAUUCCAGACUGCUGGACAUGGCACUGGAAUAAAAGAUCAGCCAUAUUCUUA